rnacentral:rRNA from 1 species
CCUUGGCAGCCUUGCUGUGGUCCAGGGUGCGCUUCGCCGAAACAAAAAUCAACGCCGUUUCGGCAGCUGCAACUGUUGAGGCAGGCGAAUGUCGCGAAAGCGUUCGCAUGAACGCGUUGUUGGACGAAUUUACCACCUAUCAGGUUGAAGGUAGUAUAGUUGACUACCUUGCCCUUGACGGGUAACGGGGAAUUGGGGUUCGAUUCCGGAGAGGGUGCUUGAGAAAUGGCAACCAUGACUACGGUCAGCAGCAGGCGCGCAAAUUGCCCAAUGCCAAUACUGGCGAGGCAGCGACGAAAAAUAACAACUCUGAUGCACAAAUGUGCCUCAGAGGUUGCAAUGAACUGUAUCCAGAAACACUGCUGAGUACCAAUUGGAGGGCAAGUCUGGUGCCAGCAGCCGCGGUAAUUCCAGCUCCAAGAGCGUAUAUAAAUGUUGUUGCGGUUAAAAAGCCCGUAGUUGGAUUUGAGAUCAUCGCCUGUGAGCUCUGCUCUGGGUUCAACCCCGGAAUCCAGAACUCACGCAUCGGCGAUGUUCUGUUGCAUGCGGGAAUGGCCAUCUGCCGAUAACUCUCUCGUAGAGUGUGUAGGCACUUUCGGAGUGUUUACGCUCCAAAGAUGCGCCCGCAGUCGUCACUGUGAGUAAGUCAGAGUGUUCAAGGCAACUCUCUGCUGAGUUGAAUGUUAAAGCAUGGAAUGACAAGGGAUCGACCACUAAAGGCCUCUUUUUGUUGGUUUUUAACCUUCAGUGAGGCAAACUUGUGGAAGGGCUUUCCACUUCAAGGACUUCGGUCUUUUGAAUGGACCCUUCUACGCACGGGAUCAAUAGGAGCACAGGGGGCCGUGAGUACUGGAGGGUGAGUGGUGAAAUACUGAGACCCCUCCAAGACUGACAUCAGCGAAAGCACUCGGCUAUUGUGCUUUCAUUAAUCAAGGACGAGAGAUAGGGGAUCGAAGAGGAUUAGACACCCUCGUAGUCCUUUCCUUAAAUUCUGCAGACUUGGGAUCGGUCAGCGUCUAUCAUUUCGACCUGAUCGGCACCUUCCUCCCCUAUCGAGAAAUCAAAGUCUUUGUGUUCCGGGGGGAGUACGUUCGCAAGGCUGAAACUUAAAGGAAUUGACGGAGAACCACCACCAGUCGUGGAUUGUGUGGCUUAAUUCGACUCAACACGGGAAAUUUUACCAGCACAGGACAGGGCCAGGAUUGCCAAGUUAAAGCCUUUGCUUGAUUCCCUGAAGGGUGGUGCAUGGCCGCUUCUGGUUGGUGAACGUGAUUUGUCUGCUUAAUUGCGAUAACGAACGAGAUCUCUGCCAAUC